rnacentral:rRNA from 1 species
UACGUAGGUGGCGAGCGUUGUCCGGAUUUACUGGGCGUAAAGAGCGCGCAGGCGGUCGUCCAAGUCGCGUGUGAAAGCCCCCGGCUCAACUGGGGAGGGUCACGCGAUACUGUUCGACUCGAAGGCAGGAGAGGGUAGUGGAAUUCCCGGUGUAGUGGUGAAAUGCGUAGAUAUCGGGAGGAACACCAGUGGCGAAGGCGACUACCUGGCCUGUUCUUGACGCUGAGGUGCGAAAGCGUGGGGAGCAAACAGG